UUGACUGGUGAAUGCAUACUUUGGUAUCUAAUCUUUUAUUUAGGGAAGUGUCUCUGAAUCUUUGCCCCAGAAAGAAAAAACACUUCUGCAAAGCUGCAUCACUGCAGAACGUAACAUGGAACAGAUCAGCGUACAGUUCUUUUCAAACUUUGCAGUCACCCGCUAACUUCAGAGAUGAGUUUUCAAUGAUAUUGCAAUAAAGGCUAUGACUAGCUAUAUCGAAACUCCGAAAACCC
rnacentral:lncRNA from 1 species